GCAAAAUUGUACUUAGGUAUAUAUUGUCUGAUGCAAUAUCGAUAUGCAAAAAACAAAAGAUAAAGGAUAGAAGAAUGACACAAGAUGGAUAAGAGUUGAGAAUAAUGGUUACAUGACAACCGAUACCCCCAGUUACAAGACUCCAAAAGCACCAAUUCUAUAGAAAGCAUGACACAAGAAUGAGACUAAUAGGCAACAAUGGCUAUUAAAGCCAAAACCUCCUAUUAAGAACACCAAACAAGCACCUAUACUAUAGAGACACCCUCACGCCUCAAGAGGAAUGAUCCUCAAGCAAGUAAUCUCAUCAACAUUUCAAUCAACAAUGACCUUAGUCCGAACUACCUCAAGAGUAUCUCUAUUCAAAAUCAAUCUACGUCUAAAUGAGCUAUUCUCACCUAUUUAUAGUCUAGGCUAGCUAUUACAUAAAAGGUCCAAAAGUGGCACUUCAAAUAAUUGCAAAAACAAUCAAAAUCAGACUCCAUGUAGUAUGCGACGUAGCUUGUGGCGUCGCAUCUACCAUUUGCGGUCGCAUCCAUCUCCGCAUCUCGAAAACAAUGAGUCUUGAAGUUUUAGACUGAAUGCAACUCGGGUUGCAGUCACAACCUCUCACUUGCGGUUUAAGCUUAGCAUUUCACAUUGCAAGUGAGUCCUUUCUCCCUGCUCCAAGUAUUCCUCCAAGUUAGAGACAGGAUAGUUUUAUCAAAUUUAACUUCUGCUUCCAACUUUAGUUACUCAGGGAAAUAGAUAGAAACAAGAGAAAUUAUUGUCUCUUGUCAACUGUACUUUUCCUAGUCUAUAGGUUGGGCAGGUUAGUAAUAACAUGAAGCUCUGUAUUUGUGGUUGAUUAUUCUUUUGACACUAAUAUCAAUAUUUUGAUGGCACAGGUACCACUCACUACAUCACACUCAGUUUAGAACAAAUUAUUCACUUUUUAUGCCAAUGUAUGACUAUCUGAAUGGUACAGUGGAUAAGUCAUCAGACACGUUGUAUGAAAAGUCACUCGAGAGAGAAGCUGAAGUGCCUGAUGUGGUGCACCUUACGCAUCUAACAACCCUAGAAUCCAUCUACCAUCUUCGACUAGGGUUUGCAUCACUGGCCUCAAAGCCUCACGCCUCUAAGUGGUAUUUGUUGCUAAUGUGGCCCGUCACACUAUGUUCAAUAGUGCUUACAUGGAUUUACGGUCACACAUUUGUUGUUGAGAGAAAUUUGUUCAAGAAUCUCAAAUUACAAACCUGGGCUAUCCCGAAGUAUCGCAUACAAGUAAUUAAGUUAUAUUAUUAAAGAUUAUAGUUACAUUUUGCAGGUCUGUUGUUAAAGUGAUUAUUAAUAUAUCCUGAUUCUUUGUUUUGUUGCAGUACUUUAUGCAAUGGGAAAGAGAGAGUAUUAACUAUUUGAUCGAGGAAGCCAUCAUUGAAGCAGAUCAGAAAGGCAUAAAAGUGUUGAGCCUUGGACUCUUAAAUCAGGCAAGUCAAAAUAUGUGUUAAAAGCGUAAUACCACCCAUCCUUACUUUAUCUAUGAAAAAAAUGCAUGAUCUGUUCUUAACUGGUAAUUAUCUUGCAACCUUAUUGCAAAAUGUUUUGUACACAAUCAAAAGAUAUUGUUAUUAUGGAGAAAAAGAUUUUAAAAAAGAAGUCACCCCUCACCCUAUAUCAAUGUUUGUAGGCUGAACCAAUUAAAGAAGGUCAACUCAUACUUAUGCUUUAUUUCAAAUGUACUUUCCAGGAAGAGCAACUGAAUAGUCAUGGUGAAUUUUACGUAAAGAGGUAUCCACACCUGAAAGUGAAGGUGGUAGAUGGAAGUAGCUUAGCUGUAGCCGUGGUCCUAAACUCCAUUCCUGAAGGAACUUCCCAAGUUGUCCUUCGAGGUAGCUUGUCCAAAGUUGCUAACUCCAUUGCCCUUGCCUUGUGCCAAGGAGAAAUUCAGGUAUAUUUAACUAUUAAUCUCCUACAUCAUUUUUGGUUUUAUCUCAUUCAACAUAAUUUCUAUAUAUAGGUUGUCACGUUAAACAGAGACGAUUACAAGAGACUUAAAGCAAAGCUUACCCCCCAGGCUGCAACUAAUAUGGUCCUCUCGAAUUCUUAUAAUGUUUCAAAGGUAUAAACCAAAAAUAAAUUGAAAUAUACUGAUCUAAAUCUUGACCAUUUAUAACAUUUCCUUGCACCUCCCCCUCCCUCCUAGAUCUCCUAACCCAAAGUUUUUAUCAUUACGUGAGGUUUGAACAAUUCUGGUUUUUUUAAAAGAGGCUCUUGAUUGAAAUAUUAUAUUGCAGACAUGGCUAGUAGGGGAUGGAUUGAGUGAUGACGAGCAAUUGAAAGCACCAAAAGGAACACUAUUUAUUCCCUUUUCACAAUUUCCACUAAGAAAAGUUCGCAAGGACUGCUUCUAUUUCAACACACCAGCCAUGAUUGCUCCAAAGCAUCUUGAAAAUGUAGACUCUUGUGAGGUUAGAAAAGAUCAUUUAAUGUUAUUAAUUUCUCUAUACUAAUUUGACGGUUUUUUAAAAUUAAAGAAAUUCAUGAGUGAUUUUCUUUUAAUUCUAGAAUUGGCUACCAAGAAGAGUGAUGAGUGCGUGGAGAGUAGCUGGAAUUGUGCAUGCAUUGGAAGGUUGGAAUGAGCAUGAUUGUGGUGAGAUGAUGAUUGAUGUUGAAAAAGUGUGGAAAGCUAGUCUCAGUCAUGGUUUUUGCUCAUUAACCAAGACUUCUGCUGCUUAAUCAAAGGGCUAAAAUUAUACUACUAUUAUAGAUAGACUGCUGCUUAAAUUAUUGAAUCUUGGAUCUAUGGUACCAUUUCGUUGGGUAAACGAAAAGUAUGCACAAUAUUAGCCUCUACUAGAACAUGUAAUAGGUAGCAAACCCAUUAAUAUAAAGGUUUGAGGUAUGGAUCUCAUUAAGAAUUGGCUAUAAGAACACCUACCCCAUUGAGCUACCCUUGGCCAAACCUCUCCUUCCCCGGUCCAUGCUCCCAAGCCUACCCCUACCGACGUUGUGACAAUUGGUUACAUUAAUGAGCUACUAGCAUAAUCGAAAAUCAACCUAAAACAUUGACUGUGUUGUACUUACUGUUCUAUUGAAUUUCGAAUUAAAUUCAUAACAAAACCAAUGCCAAUAUAUCCAAAACGAAAUAAAAUGAAGAGAACAGAAACAAAUAAACCAAAUCACACAGAAUUUCAAGAGCAAAACACAUUUGUAUACAAAAUGCAGCGAGGAAAAAAAUCGGAGAGGCCAAAAAGAAGCUUAAGUUGGCGAAGCUUACCAGAGAUGGGAGAAAACGGGUAAAUUUGCACGGAACCAGACGGCCUAACACAGAGAAGAGCGACAAAGGAUCAACAAAAAAUUGAGGAAGAGGAUUGAAACUGGAGAACACGAAUGCAAUUUUCUAUGGUGAUGCAGGGAAAAAUAGCAAUUUGGGUCCUUGAUUUAUUAUCUUAUUCCUAUUUUAG
rnacentral:lncRNA from 1 species